GACGAACGCUGGCGGCGUGCCUAACACAUGCAAGUCGAACGGAGUCGGCCCCGCAAGGGACUGACUUAGUGGCGAACGGGUGAGUAACGCGUGAGCAACCUGCCUUUCAGUGGGGGACAACAGUUGGAAACGACUGCUAAUACCGCAUAAUGCAUUUUGACCGCAUGAUCGAGCUGCCAAAGAUUUAUUGCUGAAAGAUGGGCUCGCGUCUGAUUAGAUAGUUGGUGAGGUAACGGCCCACCAAGUCGACGAGCAGUAGCCGGACUGAGAGGUUGAACGGCCACGUUGGGACUGAGAGACGGCCCAGGCUACUACGGGAGGCAGCAGUGGAGAAUAUUGGGCAAUGGGGGAAACCCUGACCCAGCAACGCCGCGUGAAGGAAGAAGGCUUUCGGGUUGUAAACUUCUUUUACAAGGGACGAAGAAAGUGACGGUACCUGGAGAAAAAGCCACGGCUAACUACGUG
rnacentral:rRNA from 1 species